rnacentral:rRNA from 1 species
UACGUAGGUGGCAAGCGUUGUCCGGAAUUAUUGGGCGUAAAGCGCGCGCAGGCGGUCCUUUAAGUCUGAUGUGAAAGCCCACGGCUCAACCGUGGAGGGUCAUUGGAAACUGGGGGACUUGAGUACAGAAGAGAAGAGUGGAAUUCCACGUGUAGCGGUGAAAUGCGUAGAGAUCCGGAGGAACACCAAAGGCGAAGGCAGUGUCCUGGGGAGUACCUGACGCUCAGGUGCGAAAGCCAGGGGAGCGAACGGG